rnacentral:rRNA from 1 species
GAGUUUGAACCUGGCUCAGGAUGAACGCUGGCGGCGUGCUUAACACAUGCAAGUCGAGCGAAGCGCUCACGCGGAAUUUUUCGGAAGGAAGCGGGAGCGACUUAGCGGCGGACGGGUGAGUAACGCGUGGGUAACCUGCCCCAUACCGGGGGAUAACGGUUAGAAAUGACCGCUAAUACCGCUUAAGCGCGCGAGGCCGCAUGGCCACGCGUGAAAAACUCCGGUGGUAUGGGAUGGGCCCGCGUCUGAUUAGCUAGUUGGCGGGGUAAAGGCCCACCAAGGCGACGAUCAGUAGCCGACCUGAGAGGGUGGCCGGCCACAUUGGGACUGAGACACGGCCCAAACUCCUACGGGAGGCAGCAGUGGGGAAUAUUGCGCAAUGGGGGAAACCCUGACGCAGCAACGCCGCGUGAGUGAGGAAGUAUCUCGGUAUGUAAAGCUCUAUCAGCGGGGAAGAAAGAGGACGGUACCCGACUAAGAAGCCCCGGCU